rnacentral:rRNA from 1 species
CCUACGGGAGGCAGCAGUAGGGAAUCUUCCGCAAUGGACGAAAGUCUGACGGAGCAACGCCGCGUGAGUGAUGAAGGUUUUCGGAUCGUAAAGCUCUGUUGUUAGGGAAGAACAAGUGCGAGAGUAACUGCUCGCACCUUGACGGUACCUAACCAGAAAGCCACGGCUAACUACGUGCCAGCAGCCGCGGUAAUACGUAGGUGGCAAGCGUUGUCCGGAAUUAUUGGGCGUAAAGGGCUCGCAGGCGGUUUCUUAAGUCUGAUGUGAAAGCCCCCGGCUCAACCGGGGAGGGUCAUUGGAAACUGGGAAACUUGAGUGCAGAAGAGGAGAGUGGAAUUCCACGUGUAGCGGUGAAAUGCGUAGAGAUGUGGAGGAACACCAGUGGCGAAGGCGACUCUCUGGUCUGUAACUGACGCUGAGAGCGAAAGCGUGGGGAGCGAACAGGAUUAGAUACCCUGGUAGUC